AAGAAGUUUUAUUCUUGCUUUUUCAUUCAGUUUUUGUUUGUUCUAUAUGUGAGUUUUUGCGUGUAUUUGUCUUUGUUCUUGAUGGUUAUUGGGUGUGUUAUGGUUAAAUUUUUUUCAUUAGUUGUUAUUGGUUAAUCAAGUGUUCUUGUAUCUAGCAAUUCGUUUAUAGUUUCGGUUAAAUUUUGUGCCAGCAGCCGCGGUUAUACCUUGGGGGCGUUUGAAUGUGUUUGGUGUUAAUGGUAGUUUUAUGUUUAUUUAUUUGGUUUUGUUUUUAUUUGUUUAUUUAGGUGAAAUUUCUAUAAUUUAUUAAUGUUUAAUUUUUUGUUUGGAGGCUAUGAAAUUCUUAUUUUAGACUAGGAUUAGAUACCCUAUUAUUUUUGAUCGUUAAUUUUGGUGCCUGAGUAGUAUUAGUUAUGUUCUUGAAACUUAAAGAAUUUGGCGGUAUCUUAUUCCAUUCAGAGGAAUCUGUCUCGUUAUCGAUAGUCCGCGUUGGACCUUACUUGGGAGUAUUAAGUGGUUUGUAUACCGCCGUUUAUUGAUUAUCUUUUUAGAGUCUGGUAAAUUUUCUGGUUUCUUUAUUUUGAUUUAUUUCAGGUCAAGGUGCAGCUUUUUCUAAGUGUAGGAUGGAUUACAUUGUUAUUUGUUGUUUGGAUUGUUUGGGUUUAAAUUAUUUGCAUGAAAUUGGAUUUGGUUGUAAUGUUUAUGUAGAUUGUUUUCAUGAUAAUAGGUUCUAAGAUAUGUACACAUCGCCCGUCGCUCUCGUUUAGAUUUGUUAAUGAGAUAAGUCGUAACAAAGUGGCUGUACCGGAAGGUGUGGCUGGAUUGAU
rnacentral:ncRNA from 1 species